CCGGAUACAGGAUGUUCACCAUCUUACCAGAGACGUUCAAAAGACUGACCUCCUGACUGGACCAGAGUCAGUGAACUUUGGACACCAAACAAACCGCUUCUCAAUCAGACAAUAAGAAGGAUGUUUACCAUUUUACCAGAUGUACAAAAGACUGACUUCCUGACUGGACCGGAGCCGAUGAACGUUGGACACCAAACAAACCUCUCUUCAGUUGAACAGUAAAAAGAUGUCCGUAAUGAUGAUGAGAUCUCACCCGAGUGUCAUCUCCACCAGCGUGUUCUGACUCAGGUAGGCUGACUGAGGCUUCAUCCCACUGGACACCAGAGGAAGAACUUUCUGAGGCAGCUGUUCCUGAAGCUGCACAAACACAGUAAAACCUCGUUUAAUGUACUACAGCUCGUUAGGAAACCAACAUCUAAUUAAAGCUUCAAGCAGUGUUGGAUGGGCCCUCGCAUGUCGGGGCAUGUUGCGGCGACAGGGCAGUUGCUCAUCAGCAUGGCUCUGAGUUAUCAUGUGCUUUUGAUGCCUCACGAAGAAGUUAAACGUCACUUCCUGUGUCCCCUGUGGCGCUAGAGAACAUCCGCAAAAUCUACCAGUACAGUAAGUAAGUAAGUAAGUGUGUUAAAUUAAAUGAGCACCAUCAUACAAAGCGUACUUCCUGUUGCCAGUAGGGGGCGCUAUAACAUUAAUUGAAUAUCAGGUGCAUUUCAGAUGAUUGCGGCUCGCUUUCGCCAACUUGAUGACUGCAGGGGGGGGGGUAUAAAAACGGCGCCGUUAACUUGGACACAUUCUACCUGUGUGAGCUUACUGUGAGCUGAAAUCAAUGACAAAAGGUGAUUCCAACUUUGUGUAGCCGGAGAGCAACUGCGGUCGCUGGACUCCUAUGCUCCUGUGAGG